rnacentral:misc_RNA from 1 species
GGUAUUCCGUAAACAGGAACGAGGUUGCACCUUCAGCAAUGGCAUUUUGAAUUUCAGCACACUUACGAACAACGCUAUGGUCAUUAAUCCCUUCUUCUUCUUCAAUAAGCGAUUCAGCAUAUCCAUUCUUACCAUCAGCGCCGGCACCGGGAGAUGACGAUUUACCAUCAGUCGAUACCGUAACUUUCGAAACAAUCACCCAUUGU